UACAGAGGUCUCAAGCGUUGUUCGGAUUCAUUGGGCGUAAAGGGUGCGUAGGUGGCGCGGUAAGUCGGGUGUGAAAUUUCGGAGCUUAACUCCGAAACUGCAUUCGAUACUGCCGUGCUUGAGGACUGGAGAGGAGACUGGAAUUUACGGUGUAGCAGUGAGAUGCGUAGAGAUCGUAAGGAAGACCAGUGGCGAAGGCGGGUCUCUGGACAGUUCCUGACACUGAGGCACGAAGGCCAGGGGAGCAAACGGG
rnacentral:rRNA from 1 species